rnacentral:rRNA from 1 species
UACGUAGGGUGCAAGCGUUGUCCGGAAUUAUUGGGCGUAAAGAGCGUGUGAGCGGCCCCAUUAGUCCGCUGUGAAAGUCCAGGGCUCAACCCUGGAAUGCCGGUGGAUACUGUGGGGCUAGAGUCCGGAAGGGGCGAGUGGAAUUCCUGGUGUAGCGGUGAAAUGCGCAGAUAUCAGGAGGAACACCGAUGGCGAAGGCAGGUCACUGGGCCGCAACUGACGCUGAGGAGCGAAAGCGUGGGGAGCGAACAGG